rnacentral:rRNA from 1 species
UACAGAGGGUGCGAGCGUUAAUCGGAAUUACUGGGCGUAAAGGGUGCGUAGGCGGUUAUAUAAGUUAGAUGUGAAAUCCCCGGGCUUAACCUGGGAAUUGCACUUAAUACUGUGUGACUAGAGUAGAGUAGAGGGAAGUGGAAUUUCCGGUGUAGCGGUGAAAUGCGUAGAUAUCGGAAAGAACAUCAGUGGCGCAGGCGGCUUCCUGGCCUCAUACUGACGCUGAGGCACGAAAGCAUGGGGAGCAAACAGG